rnacentral:rRNA from 1 species
GAUGAACGCUGGCGGCGUGCUUAACACAUGCAAGUCGAACGGACCUUGAGGAGCUUGCUCCUCUUGGUUAGUGGCGGACGGGUGAGUAACGCGUGGGUAACCUGCCCUAUGCAGGGGGAUAACGUUUGGAAACGAACGCUAAUACCGCAUAACAUAAGAAGUUUGCAUGAACUUCUUAUCAAAGAUUUAUCGGCAUAGGAUGGACCCGCGUUGGAUUAGCUAGUUGGUGAGAUAACAGCCCACCAAGGCAACGAUCCAUAGCCGGCCUGAGAGGGUGAACGGCCACACUGGGACUGAGACACGGCCCAGACUCCUACGGGAGGCAGCAGUGGGGAAUAUUGCACAAUGGGCGCAAGCCUGAUGCAGCGACGCCGCGUGAAGGAUGAAGGUUUUCGGAUCGUAAACUUCUAUCAGCAGGGAAGAACCAAAUGACGGUACCUGACUAAGAAGCCCCGGCUAACUACGUGCCAGCCGCCGCGGUAAUAC